GGGGGACGCAGUAGGAUAGGCGAAGCGUGCGAUUGGAUUGCACGUCUAAGCAGUAAGGCUGAGUAUUAGGCAAAUCCGGUACUCAUUAAGGCUGAGCUGUGAUGGGGAGAAGACAUUGUGUCUUCGAGUCGUUGAUUUCACACUGCCGAGAAAAGCCUCUAGAUAGAAAAUAGGUGCCCGUACCGCAAACCGACACAGGUAGUCAAGAUGAGAAUUCUAAGGUGAGCGAGCGAACUCUCGUUAAGGAACUCGGCAAAAUGACCCCGUAACUUCGGGAGAAGGGGUGCUCUUUAGGGUUAACGCCCAGAAGAGCCGCAGUGAAUAGGCCCAAGCGACUGUUUAUCAAAAACACAGGUCUCUGCUAAACCGUAAGGUGAUGUAUAGGGGCUGACGCCUGCCCGGUGCUGGAAGGUUAAGAGGAGUGGUUAGCUUCUGCGAAGCUACGAAUCGAAGCCCCAGUAAACGGCGGCCGUAACUAUAACGGUCCUAAGGUAGCGAAAUUCCUUGUCGGGUAAGUUCCGACCCGCACGAAAGGCGUAACGAUUUGGGCACUGUCUCAACGAGAGACUCGGUGAAAUCAUAGUACCUGUGAAGAUGCAGGUUACCCGCGACAGGACGGAAAGACCCCGUGGAGCUUUACUGUAGCCUGAUAUUGAAAUUCGGCACAGCUUGUACAGGAUAGGUA
rnacentral:rRNA from 1 species